GUAAAAACUAUGAUCAGAACCAGUAAACAAUUGUAUCUAAAGAGAACAAAAUUCUUGGCUGAAAAAUUUUGUGAUAAAUGAUUGUUGAACCCCACUCUGAAAGUUGCAAGUAAACCUUGCCGGACUUAGCCCGUUAAAGUUAUAAAGAUGAAUUGCAUACAUGUUUGUUUUUUAUGUGAUUAAUUUGAGUGGUACCGCGGAUUAACCUUCGUCUCAAUA
rnacentral:ncRNA from 1 species